rnacentral:rRNA from 1 species
CCUACGGGAGGCAGCAGUGGGGGAUAUUGCACAAUGGGGGGAACCCUGAUGCAGCGACGCCGCGUGGGUGAAGAAGCGCCUCGGCGCGUAAAGCCCUGUCAGCAGGGAAGAAAAUGACGGUACCUGAAGAAGAAGCCCCGGCUAACUACGUGCCAGCAGCCGCGGUAAUACGUAGGGGGCAAGCGUUAUCCGGAUUUACUGGGUGUAACGGGGGCGCAGACGGCGAUGCAAGCCAGGAGUGAAAGCCCGGGGCCCAACCCCGGGACUGCCCUUGGAACUGCGUGGCUGGAGUGCAGGAGGGGCAGGCGGAAUUCCUGGUGUAGCGGUGAAAUGCGUAGAUAUCAGGAGGAACACCGGUGGCGAAGGCGGCCUGCUGGACUGCAACUGACGUUGAGGCCCGAAAGCGUGGGGAGCAAACAGGAUUAGAUACCCCAGUAGUC